rnacentral:rRNA from 2 species
CAGUCGACGACUCUGGUAUUGAUUGGUGCUUGCAUCAUGAUUUACAUUUGAGUGAGUGGCGAACUGGUGAGUAACACGUGGGAAACCUGCCCAGAAGCGGGGGAUAACACCUGGAAACAGAUGCUAAUACCGCAUAACAACUUGGACCGCAUGGUCCGAGUUUGAAAGAUGGCUUCGGCUAUCACUUUUGGAUGGUCCCGCGGCGUAUUAGCUAGAUGGUGGGGUAACGGCUCACCAUGGCAAUGAUACGUAGCCGACCUGAGAGGGUAAUCGGCCACAUUGGGACUGAGACACGGCCCAAACUCCUACGGGAGGCAGCAGUAGGGAAUCUUCCACAAUGGACGAAAGUCUGAUGGAGCAACGCCCCCGUGAGUGAAGAAGGUUUCGGCUCGUAAAACUCUGUUGUUAAAGAAGAACAUAUUCUGAGAGUAACUGUUCAGGUAUGGACGGUAUUUAACCAGAAAGC